AAAGCUCUUGCGUGUGUUCAAAAAAAGAGACGUUUGCUAUCGCCCGAAUCGCUUUCUUUUGAAGUAUUUCCAGUAUUUGAAUAUUUUGCGCGGUAGUGUUACCCCAUAUAAGGGAACAGUAACUGAGGUGUGAAUGGAAAAGAGCAUGAUAAAUGAGACGCUUAACUUUAAAAGGUAAUGAACUUCGAUUCCGAUUUAACACACCAACAACUUUUCGUACCUUUGAGCAAACAUGACUAACGUGUUCAUUCCAGGACAUCUGCGCUGUGAAUAUUACGCCUAGGGUUUUUAUGGAUGACGUAAUGUUAAUUUUAUACGAACCCAACACAAUAUUAUCUGGCAAUGUAGUAGAACUUCCCGGAGCAUGAAAAAUAACGCAUUUUGUUUUGGUUUCAUUGAGGAUGAGGCCGUUUGCCUUAGACCAUGCUCCAAGUCCAUAACAAACGGAGCUUGCUAUAGGGGUUAUUUCUUUUAAAUCUUUACCUGGUGUUCCAUUUGUUC
rnacentral:lncRNA from 1 species